CUAAAAAUCGAUUUUCCCCAAUCCCGAGUCUCCGAGGUUUCUUCUCUCUCUCGCCGCGAUUCUACUCGGCUCUUGGAGUGGCGCAUCACGCGACGACGAAGCUAUAAUGUCCACUUCUUCUUCUUCUUCUUCUUCGUCGCCUUCUUCUAUCUUUCUGAAAAUUCGUCUCUUUCUUCUAGUUGCAGCAUCGGCGAGUCAGGAAAUCUAUCAGCUUUGGAAACGAGAGUCACAAAGAUCCUUAUAACAAAGUUGCAGUAUCGGCGAGUGAUUCAAUUAGAUUUGAAAACACGUUCGCUGAGCAGCUAAUCAUCUAGGAUGGACGACGAUCAGUGCUCUAUAUGUUUUGAAAAGUUUGCUGACAAGUCAUACCUUUCAACUUGUUUACACACUUUCUGCUUUGAAUGUAUCAACAAGUGGUGGUUUCAGAAAUCACGGCAACAAGUAUCGAUACAAUGCCCGCUUUGUAAGAGAGAAAGUGAAAUGCUUUUUCACAAUUAUGAUGAAGAGUACAAGUGUUAUGACAAAAAAUAUUUCGAUCCUAAUUAAAAAAAGGAACAUAAAUUCAGAUUGGAAUGUUACAAAAACACCAAUCAGAGUUAUAAUGUUCACCUAUCACAAUUUUGGAAAAUGCUUAUAAAUGAAAGGAAGUUUAUUCAGCCCUGGCUCACUAGAGAGCUUCAAGCUCUUACUGAGGUAGCAGAUAUAGAUCCUGUUGUGCUGCAUGUAGUUGGUACAAUAGAUGCCUUCUGCAAUAGACUUGAGAAGAGACGGAUACCAGACAAGAAAAUUGCAGAACUACGCCAGACUUUUAGGAAUGUAAUAUCAGAAGCAGCUUGCCGGUUUGUAGGGACAAGAACAGCCCGGUUUGUUGACGAGCUAGAACUCUUUCUACUGUCACGCCUUAACAUCAGAGCAUAUGACGAUUUAUGCAAGCAAGGCCAGAACUACCCACGAGAGAAUAUUGCAGAUAGUGACAUUACUUUGUGGGUCACUGAAAGGUUGAAGCAUCUGCUACAAGACCGGCCUCACAGUGUUCUAGUUUCUCCUUGCAUCGAAUUGGCUCUAGGUGUAACAACAUCACCUCUAGACCUUAUGAGGGAGCUGGUGGACAAGCUUAAUUUCCCACCUACGGAUGCCAAUCAUUAAUUUGCAACGGAAUUAUUCGAAAAGGUUUCUCGGAAUUCUAAUCCAGUGAUUAAGAGCAUAACCCCUCGCAAGCGUGGAGAUAAAACCAUGGGUGAAGUCCUUGAGGAAAUGGAGGGACUUUUUCCGCCACAAAGUAUAGCAGACAUGCUAGAACUGUUGUAUGCAUCAGGUGCCAUUAACAAGGAGGGUUUGCUAACAAAGUCGGGGGCCAAAAUGUCUGAAUUACCCGUCGAACCUAGGGUGGCGAAAAUGAUCAUUUGCUCAGAAAAAUAUAGAUGUUCUGAAGAAAUCAUUACUAUUGCUUCCAUGGUGGUUGCUGUUCGUGGGUUAGAUUACCAAAACUUUGAUAAUAAAGUAUCAGAUCAUCUUGCCAUGCUCGAUAUAUAUGAUUCUUGGAGAGAAACGAACUUUUCUGAAAAUUGGUGCUCAGAUAACCAAGUGAACCACCAAUCCUCGUUGGGGCAUGACUCAUGUGCUGUUUAAUAAAUCUCUCGUCUUGGAACAAGGACAACCAACUCUUGCAGACACAUCUAAACCGUGCUAAGUCCUUAACAGGAACCCUAGCGAGUAUUUCCACCAUUAAAUCAAAGGGAAGCUCCCACCUCAUCUUCCGAAUCCGACGACUAUUAUUAUAUGACAUAAUACCUUAGCAAUCCAGCAAAGCAAAGCUUCUCCGACGGGGAAUUACUCUCCGAACUCCUUCUUCUUUGCCUGAGCUUGGUACUUGCUCCGAUUCCAGUAAUUAAUCUCUCUCUAACUUCUUAGAUCUGUUUUUUUU